AGACUCGUACAGAGGAGCCUUUGUUUAUACUUGGGGGGGGGGGCUGUGUCAUCUCUUCCUUGAAGUAGUCCUUGGGAAAUGGUUUUCUAACUUUGUACAUGCCCAGCUGCCUGAAGCUCCCAUUUUUGGGACUUGCUCACAGAUGUUGGGGGAGAACUGAGCCUCGGACAGAGGCCACGGGGUGUCGGGAGAGGCUAAAGUAAAGUGAAGGGAGAGCUGAGGUGGCCUAGGCAAGCCUAGUGGUGUUCUAGGAAGCCCUGUGAGGUCAGAUGGAGAGGAUGCUGUGCUGUUUGAGGUAGGCCUUGCUCACUCUGAGCCUUUAUGGGUGCUCAUUCUUGAGUGCUGGUGACCUUGCUUGGGGCUGGGGCGGCUGGAUGUAGUGUCCAUAGCAGAAGACAGCUUCUUGAGUGCUGCUGGACUCCUGGUAAUCCAGCAUAGUUUACUUCUGUCUCUUUCCAGUUGAUUACAGAUCCGAUGUGUUAUAACUCAUGCUAACGUCUAUGCCAACACAGGGUUCCUCAAGGUGAGCUCCAGACCCCCAGAACUCAUGAGGCCCAUGUAACAUUGGUCCUUCUUGGCUGCUGAGAUCCUGAGUCCUGGUACCAGUGGCUCAGGAAGGCAGCUAUAUAUGGUAGGCCUUUAAAAUGAAUUAUCAUGUGUAUGUGGGUGGUGCACAGGGUGAGAACACAUAAUAACUUGCCCGAGUGUCUCUUCUCCCUCCCUGUCUUCUGGUGCUUUAGGUCCAGAGGAACCUCAGUGUGGUCUGAAUGGGUAGUUGGUGACCAGACUGGAGCAGGCAGCCUAACUCCAUGGGAGAAUUCAGUUCUGCCUCUGUCUCCAUGCUCGGAAGCUUGGAUGCACAGCAGUGCUACCAGCUGACCCAGAUGUUGGGUUGUGAAGCCUUGGCUUGGCUUUCCUCGUUGAUUCUCUGGCUCCCUAGGAUGUCUCUCACUCUCCACAAGUCUUCUGUGCUUCUUCAUGGGGCUCCCCUAUCUGGCCUUUUCUGCAGGUCUUCAGUAAGCAAAUCUGGGGUUACCUGGAGUAGGUACCCCAACUUUGUGCUGAGGGACUUGUUUCAUCUCCAUAGCCAGUGCCCUCCAAGGCACAUACUAUGCCGCCAUCCUUGAUUCUGUUGUGGGGUAUUGGAGACAGAAUGGGGACCCUUUGUCUGCCCUCAGAGCUCAUGGAGUGAUGAUCCAGCCUGCUUUAACACCCCCAGCUCUCCAGACAGAGGUGGGGCCAAGGCCCCAGAAUGGAAGAGG
rnacentral:lncRNA from 1 species